AGAUUCCCAUCGACAAAUCAUCAUCCCCAGAGGGUGCUGAUGUCCCUGUCUGUUCUAUCAUCAUUGCAAUGACCAAAUGAGGGAAAAACUGAAAAUGGUUAAAGAUUAUGACGAGUUCAUAGUUAAGAUAAACAAGUGUAUCCCUCAUAUCAAAUUCUUUAUAAACCAUCCGCCAAAAAUGCAACAUGACUAUAAGCAUUGAAUUAGCAAAUUAAAUAGGAUCCAAAGCAAG
rnacentral:misc_RNA from 1 species